UACGAAGGGGGCUAGCGUUGUUCGGAAUUACUGGGCGUAAAGCGCGUGUAGGCGGGUCCUUAAGUCAGGGGUGAAAUGCCAAGGCUCAACCUUGGAACUGCCUUUGAUACUGGGGAUCUUGAGUCCGGGAGAGGUGAGUGGAACUGCGAGUGUAGAGGUGAAAUUCGUAGAUAUCGGAAGGAACACCGAUGGCGAAGGCAGCCUCCUGGGCCAACACUGACGCUCAUGCACGAAA
rnacentral:rRNA from 1 species